rnacentral:rRNA from 1 species
UACGGGGGGGGCAAGCGUUGUUCGGAUUCACUGGGCGUAAAGGGUGCGUAGGCGGUGGGGUAAGUUUGAGGUGAAAUCUCCGGGCCCAACCCGGAAAAUGCCUUGAAUACUAUCCCGCUCGAGGAUCGUAGGGGAGACUGGAAUUCUCGGUGGAGCAGUGAAAUGCGUAGAUAUCGAGAGGAACACCAGUGGCGAAGGCGAGUCUCUGGACGAUUCCUGACGCUGAGGCACGAAAGCCAGGGGAGCAAACGGG